UACGUAGGAUGCAAGCGUUGUCCGGAUUUAUUGGGCGUAAAGAGUACGUAGGCGGUUUGUUAAGUCAGGGGUUAAAGACUGAGGCUCAACCUCCAGGAGUGCCCUUGAUACUGGCAGGCUGGAGGACGGCAGAGGAAAGUGGAAUUCCCAGUGUAGCGGUGAAAUGCGUAGAUAUUGGGAGGAACACCGGUGGCGAAGGCGGCAUCCUGG
rnacentral:rRNA from 1 species